AUACGUAGGGUGCAAGCGUUAAUCGGAAUUACUGGGCGUAAAGCGUGCGCAGGCGGUUUUGUAAGACAGUGGUGAAAUCCCCGGGCUCAACCUGGGAACUGCCAUUGUGACUGCAAGGCUGGAGUGCGGCAGAGGGGGAUGGAAUUCCGCGUGUAGCAGUGAAAUGCGUAGAUAUGCGGAGGAACACCGAUGGCGAAGGCAGUCCCCUGGGCCUGCACUGACGCUCAUGCACGAAAGCGUGGGGAGCAAACAGGAUUAGAUACCCCGGUAGUCCACGCCCUAAACGAUGUCAACUGGUUGUUGGGGAUUUAUUUUCUCAGUAACGAAGCUAACGCGUGAAGUUGACCGCCUGGGGAGUACGGCCGCAAGGUUAAAACUCAAAUGAAUUGACGGGG
rnacentral:rRNA from 1 species